CGAACUUCGGGAGGAAGUUGAACGGAACUGUCCGUAGUCACAAAUAGAGCCCCCGAAGUAGGAGUCUCCUCAGGAAUGGAUGUCAAAAUAAUAGUAGGAGGAGGAGUCCUAACAACGGAGGGAGGGGUUCCUCCAGUAUCUACAUCCUCCGAGGAAGAAGAGUAGUAGGAAGAAGAACCCGAGCUUCCCGAGGUAGAUGUGGAAGACCCCGAACUGGAACGUACGGGGGGAGAAGGGGGAGCACCUACAAACAAAAAAGAAAGAAAUAAAGAGUAAGUUACGAAAUAAAUAAGAAAUAAGUAACUUACUAGGAGGUACGGGCUUGCGCGUACGACGGGAAAGAAUCUUUUUCUUACUUCCAAUAGGCACG
rnacentral:lncRNA from 1 species